rnacentral:rRNA from 1 species
ACUCAAAGGAAUAGACGGGGGCCCGCACAAGCGGUGGAGGAUGUGGUUUAAUUCGAUGCAACGCGAAGAACCUUACCAGGGUUUGAUAAAAGUGUUGAUCUCCUGAAAGGGAGUUCUUAUUCCGCUUUUACAGGUGGUGCAUGGCUGUCGUCAGCUCGUGUCGUGAGAUGUUGGGUUAAGUCCCGCAACGAGCGCAACCCUUAUUUUUAGUUCAUUUGUCUAAAAAGACUGCCGGUGACAAACCGGAGGAAGGUGAGGACGACGUCAAGUCAUCAUGCCCCUUACACCCUGGGCUACACACGUCCUACAAUGGGUAAGACAAUAAGUUGCAAGUCUGCGAAGACGAGCUAAUCUUUGAAACUUACUCCAAGUACAGAUUGCAGGCUGCAACUCGCCUGCAUGAAGCUGGAAUCGCUAGUAAUCGCUGGUCAGCUACACAGCGGUGAAUCCGUUCCCGGGCCUUGCACACACCGCCCGU